rfam:Stegodyphus mimosarum contig81369, whole genome shotgun sequence.
GCCUUUGUGGUGUAGUGGUCAGCACGCUGGAUGCGUAUUCCAGAGGUCCGUGAUUCGAGUCCCGACAAAGGCA